rnacentral:pre_miRNA from 1 species
UUUCUACUCCCUCCGUCCGAAAAUACUUGUCAUCAAAAUGGAUAAAAAGAGAUGUAUCUAAAACUAAAAUACGUCUAGAUACAUUUCCUUUUAUCCAUUUUGAUGACAAGUAUUUUCGGACAGAGGGAGUAUUUG